CGAGCGAAAGGCAGGAAAAAAGCUGGCUGCCUGCUAGCAACACAGCUUUCAAAGACGGGCUCAGCAAGACGUUAUAAAGACAAAACUGGAACGCCAACACGGAUUUCUUGUGGGACAAACGUACAGGCCUCGCUGCUAAAACGAUGCCUCACAAUAGACGUUACUCGUCUUCGGACAGAGACAGUCGAAGCAGCUACCAAGACCGUUACAGAGACAGAGACAGAGACAGAGGGCGAAGACACCGGCACAGAAGAUCACCCUCUUACUCCUCCAGCAGCGACAGAGACAGAGACAGAGAUCGAGAUCGAGACAGGCGGGGACGAGGACACAGACAGGAAGGAAGCUUUGUACGCUCAAGGAGUCGUAGCUAUGACAAUCGCUCUACGGAGCACCGGCCUUUUGACCGACGGUACUGCGAGGGAUACAGACGUUUGGAUCAGAGCCGAGAUCAAGACCGCGACAGAGAGAGGGAGCCCCAUGGAGCAGCUGAAAGUUAUUAUCCACGCGACUUCUCCCCAAACGUGUAUGACUACCGACGUGGCCGCGAGAGGGAGCGCGAACGGGACGAGUCGUACCGGCGGAAAGGCAGCAGGCGUAAGCACAAACGAAGGCGGCGUAGAACCAGGUCCUAUAGCCCAUCCUCCUCGCGGAGCGACAGUCGGACGCGGGCACUGAGUGUGAGGGACGACGAGGAAGGGCACCUGAUCUGUCGGAGUGGGGACGUCCUGCAAGAGAGAUAUGAGAUUGUCAGCACUUUGGGGGAAGGCACCUUUGGGAGGGUGAUGCAGUGCAUUGACCACCGCAGAGGAGGAGCCAGUGUUGCUCUGAAAAUUAUCAAAAAUGUGGAGAAGUACAAGGAAGCCGCGCGUCUGGAGAUAAAUGUACUUGAGAAGAUCAAUGAAAAGGACCCUGAUAACAAAUUCCUGUGUGUACAGAUGUAUGACUGGUUCGACUACCACGGUCACAUGUGCAUCUCCUUUGAGCUGCUAGCUCUCAGCACCUUCGACUUUCUGAAGGAGAACAACUACCUGCCGUACUCAAUCGGUCAGGUCAGACACAUGGCCUACCAAAUCUGUCUCGCUGUGAAAUUUCUCCAUGACAAUAAGCUGACACACACAGACCUGAAGCCUGAGAACAUCCUAUUUGUCAACUCAGACUUCACAAUGUCCUUCAAUGUAGAGAAGAAGCGAGAAGAGCGGACGGUUAAGAGCACAGCAGUACGUGUGGUGGAUUUUGGCAGUGCCACUUUUGACCACGAGCAUCACAGCACCAUCGUGUCCACGCGGCAUUAUCGUGCCCCUGAGGUCAUAUUAGAGCUGGGCUGGAGCCAUCCCUGUGAUGUGUGGAGUAUUGGCUGUAUCCUGUUUGAGUUCUACCUGGGCUUCACCUUGUUUCAGACUCAUGACAACAGGGAGCACCUGGCCAUGAUGGAGAGAAUACUGGGACCGGUGCCCUCUAGGAUGAUACGUAAGACGAGGAAGCAAAAGUAUUUCUAUCGCGGCCGUCUGGACUGGGACGAGAGCUCCUCAGCAGGGAAAUACGUCAGAGAAAACUGCAAACCUUUGCGGCGAUACUUGCUGUCGGAGGCGGAGGAGCACCACCAGCUGUUUGACCUCAUUGAAAGCAUGCUGGAGUACGAGCCCUCCAAGAGGCUGGUGCUGGCUGACUCCCUCAAACACCCUUUCUUUGAGAACGGGGGGAUUGGCGAGGCGGGGAGCAGCAAGAACUGGGAGGGCAACCGGGACAUCAGCCGGUGACCCACGAGUCUCCAAAGACUGAAUGACAGAGGAGAUCAAGUCUUUUUAUAUGUGGAGCAGGUGAACUGUUAAAUUAAAUGGGGCUUUGGAUGUUUUCUGUCUUUUGUCAUUAAAGCAUGGACACCUUAACUUCUUGCUCCUCCACCCUGCCCCUCUGACGUCCACCUCUGCAGCCACAAGAGGCAUGUUUUUGCAGCAGAGAGACCAAAAUACACCCACAGAAGACUGGAGAAGAAUUGAAAAGAAUUAAUCUUUUCUAUCCACCACAGCCUCUUUCAGAGGAUAAAAAAAGAAGAUUGUACCCAAAGUAGCCCUCUAUGCAGCUCCCGUCUUCCUUUUGAUUUCUGAACUACCUUCCGUCCAUCUGUCUACUAUUUUCAUCAGCAUGUAAAGAAAAUAAUUCACCUUUAUUAAGCUCAGCUGUCACCCUCGUAAAGACAGGAAGGAGAAGGAAACCUGGAAGAUCUACUGCAACAGAUGCACCGGUUCUUGGUCACGUAAGCUUUCCCAUCUGUCAGUAAUGUACCAUUGCUUUAUUAACCUCACACACUGCCCCCUUUCUUUAUCUCUACACUGUAGUCCUGUGAAUAAAUGGAUUAUGCUGCUGGGGUGCUCUACGGCUAAAAAUACAAUUGGGUUUGUGAAGCAUUAAGAUGGGAUAUUAGCAAAGGACCCUGCUACAUGACGAGACUGAAAACUAGAAAUACUGAAUAACUCCUGCCAGUUAGUAAAAAUUGUGCUUAGACGCAGAAAUGCUGGGACCUUUAGGAAGGUUGGUUGUCUACGUCACUGGGGUUAUUUACACGCCUUGUUUGGUUGGUAAUUAAGUUUUUAUCCCAUCCUGUCAUGGUCACAGAAGUACAGGGGGUCUGCAGGACCUUAAAGAAUGCACUAAAUAGCAUUUAAUUUGAAUUUGUGAGGUCUCAGUUGCCAUAAACACUGUAUCAAAAUGUAUUUAUCUAUCUCUAUUUAAGGUAUGACGUACAAUUUUUUUAAGGGGAAUAUUGAUUUUUGCAUUUCAUUUUCACUGAAAAUGUGUAAUCAAUUAUGUGAUCUUUAUUAGAGACUACCAAACAAGCUUGUUCCUUCAUGUCUGGAAUAUGAUUCAUGGGCCAUAGCAUCUCUUUAACACCACAAUGCUUCAUUUUUAAUGGCAUGUAGUGACACAUUUGUACCUUGAUCAAACUGCUACAGCUCCUUCAAUUUGGAUAUUGCACUUGACCAUAUUGUGAUUUUGAUACAUUUCAGAUGUGGAUCCCUACUCUGCAUGGAAGUACAUAUAUACUACUUACCUUUGUACUUACCUUCAAUACUUGAAAACAAACUUUGUCCAAAAAUCUUUCUUAAAUUUGGUUUAAAAUGCCCUUUAAGUGUCUAAUACCUGUAGACACCCUGGAAGGAGAAAAUCACACAUGAGCAGAUACAAUUAAUAAUAUAAGAUUUCUCCUUGACUCAAUGUUGAAGUGCUUACAGCUGAAGAAUGUCUGUAUCCUAUUCUGUAAAUAGGAAACUUGAAAAUAUAGAAUUAAAGUCAGUACUACGGUAACAUAUUACGAAUUAACAGUUUUUAUUAUUAUAUUUGCACAUAUAUUAGAUCCAGAUAAUGACAAAUAACUCAGCAGAGGUCAAAAAGUCACAGGUUUCUACAGCUGGUCUCCAAAAAAGGUAAAUUAACAAAAGGAAAAACUAGCAAUUUAGAAAAAUACAACAACAAAAAAAUAAGAAGAAGCACACAAAAUUAAUAGAGAAAUCAACCAAUCGGUGGACAAAAAUCCAUUUAAAAAGAAAAAGAAAAAAAACCAUAAAAAUCAACACUUUUUUAAAAAUAUAACCCCCCAGUGGAAUUGUGAAUGGAUUGGGAGUGUUAUCGCUCUUGACCUGGAUUCAGUUUUGACCACAGUGAGUCAUUGAAUCAAUGAAUUAAACGACUCAUUCAACUUUGUGACUCAGCUGCAGUCAAUGAGGCGGUGUCAUGUCUUGGGGGACAAGGAGGAAAUCCUCUCUGCGUCAUGGAGGCAUCACCUUCCACCUUUUCAGUCUGUCCACGCUCCAUAUGUCUGGUAUCUUCUCUGAGAAAUUGUCACCAAAUCAUCAGCUGUAACACAAACUACACUUUUUGUUUUUACCCCCUGAAAUUAAAAUUGUGACUUGUGAAAUAAGACGAACCAGCAUAUUUGAGGUCGAACUCACUGCUGUAAAUAAGAGCUAUUUUAGUGAUCAGAUGUCAACAAGCAGCUGUUUUCCUGUUCAGGUUUGUUUGGCACUUCUCUGCUGUUAAUGAGAUAAACUCUUACGUCCUCUGCUAAGCCUGUUUGAGGACCAGUGGGAUCAACAGUCAAAUCCCCAUAAGAGCUGACGGUGACAGAGCAGAGGUGUAUACAUGUGCACACACUGAAGCACUGGAGGCGAUGCAACGGCUGGACUCCUCACUGUACAGUUUUGACAAUUGAUAUAAUCAGCUGACUGGUCUACAGGAGAUACACUUGCAGAUAAAAGCCUGAAUUCUAGUUUGACAGUAAAGAAGAGCAACAACGCUUACUUUUUUCCUAAACUUGAAAAGAGUUAAGUUAAAUUCCCUGAAAAACCCAACCUGCUACGUCACACAAAGGACAUCAGCAC